rnacentral:rRNA from 1 species
GACGAACGCUGGCGGCGUGCUUAACACAUGCAAGUCGAACGGAAAGGCCCUGCUUGCAGGGUACUCGAGUGGCGAACGGGUGAGUAACACGUGGGUGAUCUGCCCUGCACUUCGGGAUAAGCCUGGGAAACUGGGUCUAAUACCGGAUAGGAGCCAUUUUUAGUGUGAUGGUUGGAAAGUUUUUUCGGUGUAGGAUGAGCUCGCGGCCUAUCAGCUUGUUGGUGGGGUAAUGGCCUACCAAGGCGGCGACGGGUAGCCGGCCUGAGAGGGUGGACGGCCACAUUGGGACUGAGAUACGGCCCAGACUCCUACGGGAGGCAGCAGGGGGGAAUAUUGCACAAUGGGCGCAAGCCUGAUGCAGCGACGCCGCGUGGGGGAUGACGGCCUUAGGGUUGUAAACUCCUUUCGCUAGGGACGAAGCUUUUUGUGACGGUACCUAGAUAAGAAGCACCGGCUAACUACGUG